ensembl:lncRNA
AUGUCUGCAGAUAAGCCCAAGGUGUACCAGGGUGUGCGUGUGAAGACCACUGUUAAGGAGUUACUGCAGAAGCACAGAGCCCUGCAGGCACAGAAAACCGCAACGAAAUCACAAGCCAUGGCUGCUCGCGAUGUCUGCUCUACGACCAUGAAUACCCACCUUGAUGUCUUUGGAAUGCAAGCUCCAGAGCCCUAUUUCCAGACACGUCCCUUUACCGAAAAUGUCAAUAUCCCGAUGGAGAAUGCUUAUGAUCAUCAACAAAUGAUGCACCUGAUGCCACAUGAGACUUUCAGCGGCAGUAAUUUCGUGUGUCCCACUUCUUCGCAGUGGUCUAAUGGAUAUAUUCCUUCUAACACGGACCUCUAUGGUACUAGCCUGGUAUCGAGAUCACCCUCUGAUACUUUCAAUCUCCCAAGUCCAGUCGACUACAACAGUUACUCUCCCCCUCAGUCCAACUCUUCAUCUUCUUCGUGCUACAGCUCUCCAACGCGGAUGGAUUUGAGCUCUAGUUUCUCUCCAGAAAAUUACCACUAUCAGCAUUGCAACCUACAGAAUUGCUUUUGUCUUUCGCAUUGGUCCAAUCUGCAGGAAGGCAUGGCAACCUCGGAGUUUGCGCCCUACGGCUCUUCAGACUGUUUGUAUUCAUAUGGCGACGACAGUUAUUUCAGAAGGGAUACUUCAAACUCAGAGAUGUGUUUCUUAUAA